rnacentral:tRNA from 1 species
GCCUUGGUGGCUCAGCCUGGUAGAGCGUCUGCUUGGUAAGCAGAAGGUCGCGGGUUCAAAUCCCGCCCAAGGCUCCA